rnacentral:lncRNA from 1 species
CAAAACCGACCAGAUCCCCUCCAAGUCGCGAUGGCGGCACCUCCCGAUGAAUAAUCCCGUGCUCGCAGGUUGCUCCCCAGUCGAAUUGGGGUCCGUGAUGCCGGAGCCGAUGCCUGCGAUGCUCACGGCCCCUCUCCGACCGCAGACCAGCUGCGCGGAUGGAAAUCCCCGGCAGCGGUCACCAUGUCCCAGCCCAGCAGUGCGAAGCUCAGCGCUUGGUCACCCGAUUUCCCCCCGACUAGGUUGACGAGAUGGGGCACAAGGAGUUCGGCUAAUUUAGUCAGCAGGGAGAACAACAACCAGGCGGGAUACACGCAGACGGGACUCCGGUUGUUUUGUUAUGCCGGAGGAGAGGAUCCCGGCAGAAAACAGGGCUCGGUUCUGUUAUGCGUGAGAAGAGCAAUAGUGGAGAAGGGGCCCACGUGUCAGUGCCAUCACUAGUUUGGAGACUGCCAUGCGGGGUCCCACUGUCGGCACCACACCACUGGGUUGCACGUGAUAAAGGGGUAGGAUGGGCCGUGCACAUGUUUAGGCCCAUGCGGCUAGUAAGUCUUCUUUUUUUUCUAUAUUCUUUUCUAGUUUCUAUUCCCUUUUCAUUUACAAAUUUCAAAUUCAAAUCUAAGAUGAAGUUUAAGAAUUCAAAUCCAAACAUGAGUUUCAAAAUUCUAAUUUAAAUGCAACAUCCAAAAUAUCGACAUGAAUGCAAUAUAUUUAUUUAUUUAUUUACUUAUAAACAUAUAUAUUUAUUUUAAUCAUUUUAUUCCUUUAUUUAGUUAAAGGCUCAAAGUAUGGCAUCCACCCAUAUUAUUUUUUUAGGAAAUUAUUACUAGUGUGUGAUCAAAUUCCAAGAUCAACCAAUAAUGAAUAUCCAUUAUUCCACUUAUUUAGGGGAGGGUAAUAUUUUCUCCUUUACCGAGAGCCACUUAAUCUUGAAUAUAUUUUUAUUUAGGAGAAUUCUUUAAAUUUCAUGAGAAGAAUAACUUAUUCCACUAGAGCGAAGAUUUUUUUAUGCUUACUCAAUUUCUUAGUAUUACUCCCUAUAAAAGACACAAAAGGAAUACAUGAACUCAUUACUUAUUUUUAGGGUUUACAAAUCCUACCCCCCUUAACAGAAAUCUCGUCCUCGAGAUUUGUAAGAAAGAGGGAUACAAAAGGUUUGGUUUGGGAUUUUAGCCUUUAGUUGGCCUGAGAAGGAAGAGUCUUUUCUUUCAUGAAUAUUAGUGGGUGAUUAGAAGGGCAUAUGUAUCCGGCUACUUAUUAUGUAGGAUAUAAGAGAUGGAUAGGUUUGGGCAAGAGUAGCCUAGGGUAAGAAAGUUUAGAGUGAGAAAGAACUUUUGUUGGGUAGUAAUGCCCCUGAUGAUCAAGUUUGACUUCUCUAUCCUUCCUUGACAAGGUUGAUCUUGUCCUUUCCGGUCUUGGUCUCAUUGAGUCGGGGUCAGUGUAUAUCAUCGAAGUUGGGGGAAUAUGGUUAAGAUAGAUAUAGGUGAGAUAGACUACAUGAUGUUGGUCAAAAACUUGUUUGAUGUUAGGUGGGGAUAGAUAUGCUCAUUAGGACAAGCUGAGUCUCUAAGAAUAAGAUAGAAUCUUUUGAGAUUAGUUAGAUCUAUUAGGCUAAGAUAGAAUCUUUUCAAGAUAAGAUGAUUCUAUUAAGGUAAGAGAGUAUCUUUUUAGGAUAAGAUGUAUCUUAUGAAGCUAGAUAUAUUUUAAUGGGGGAUAUCCUUAGUUGAUCUAGUUAUAUUAUGAUUUUUUUAUGUCUUUAGUAUAUGCAGAUGCAAUUGUGGACAUUACUCCACAACUCAUCACACUCAAUCAAAGAUCCAGAUCAGACAAGUAUCAUAAGAACAAACAUUCAAGUUCAUAGAUAUUUAUAUAAGAAAAAUAGUUUUGUUUUUGUUCCUAAGAGUAGGUCUCCUAUUCCUAAAGGUCACUUUAGGCGCAGGAUUUCAAAGUGUGAAAUCCAAGUUUGUCUUUAGAAAUAAAAGCUAAGAAUAAUCAGAGUAAAGAGGAAAUAGAUGAGAAAAGAUUAAGAAAAGUUUAGAAAGAAUCAGAGUGGCAAAGGUAAGUAGAGAAUAGUUGUCCAGUUUUAUCUAGGUUUCGUCCUACAGUCAACAUUCCUCUGAUACCACUUCUGUCACACCCGGGUUUCGGGGCACCAAGACCCGGGCGCGAACAUAAUCACCAGGUGUGCUGGGACCAAGUCUCACACAUAUGAUGAAUCAUGGCACAUGAUCGAAUGUCACAUCUUUACUAUAUAAUAGGAGUUUUGUCCAAAAUAAAUAAAUAAUUACAUUAUAAGGAGACAACGGUCCAGCAACCCAAAGUUGACUAGGAAACGACGACCUAGACCUCUCACGAACACAUCGCAGCAUCCUCCAUGCGCCUGAUCCUGUGGUACCUGUUCUUGACCUGUGGGGGGGUGUGAGACAACAAGAGUGAGCUCACAUACAUUCAUCGCUCAACAAGUUGUGGGGAAUAAUGUGCAUGAACUCGCCAAAGGUGAGAGCUCAUGUGAAGUGUAAGGCUUACCAAAGAGGAUGGUUAGAGCUGAGCAUUGCUUUUAAAGUUGGUCAAAAUUUUAUUAGCAAUUACUAAGUAUAAGUAAAUACCAACCCAAUUAAGUAGUAGAACAAAAGUAACAACCUCACUUGCGAUGCAAUGCAUAUGACAAAUUGAGUUUAAGUUCCAUAAUUUAAUCAUGUGAGUGUCCGAGCUGCUCAUGACCGUGAGCACGACUAGUAUACCAGUUUUACACUCUGCAGAGAUUGCGCAUCUUUAAUCGAGCUGCUCAUGACCGUGAGCACGGCUAGUAUACCAGUUUUACACUCCGCAAAGGUUGCGCAUCUUUACCCACAAGUCAUGUUACCCAUCUGCCAAGAGACGGCCAAUCCCAUACACCUCUACCGAGGAGGCGAGGCAGGGUAACACUGCGAGGCCUUUACAAAGUUCCACUAGCUUCAGAAAACCCUCUACAGUUUAUAGGAAGCUCCAAUGCAGGAAUCCCUCGCAUGACCGCCAUCGCAGCAAAAUCAUCCCAAGGGCCUCCCUACACUGACCACUCUCCAACUGCCCUUGCCCCUUUCGGGUAAGGUAGUCAUCCACUAGCUUUCCUAAUUAAUCAGCCAAGGGCGUCCAUAAACCCUUUUGGUAGCACUGUUUUCCCGGGUGGUUCUCCAUGUUCCAAUUAACAUUAUGAUCUUAUCAUGAACAGUAAAUAACAACUGAUAACAAAAGUGUAAUCAUGAAUAAUGUAUCUCCAUACCCACAACCACAUAUAGCACUAGCAAGUACUACCCAGAAAGUUCAGUGGUAAACAAGGUAUAAAGAUAGACAAACUAGGGUAUCCUAUUGGGUCCCAUCAAAAUUAACCUGUGCAGAUCAUUAUGAUUAAUUAGAACAUGAGUGGGUAAAAAGAAGUGAUCAAGGGCACGACUUGCCUGGGACUUGAGAUUCCAGGUACCAAGAUGAUCUUCAGGUGACUCGUGACCUCGCGCUAAUCGUAGCAAUACAUACAAACAUGGUAUAUGCAAAAUUAACAUCACACCAAACAUAAUAAUACACUGCAUAAUAAUAAUCUACGCGUUACUACGAGAUCGUGGGAACAAGAACCACUAAAUUCGGAGCUACGAUUAUUAAGUUAUGAAUUUCUGAAAUUAUUUAGUGCUUAGAAUAGAUUAAUCCAAAUGAACAAUUUUAAUUCAAGUUUCAUGGCUAAACAGUGUUACUAGUUGAUAGACAAUAUUAAUACAAAAUUAUUGGCACUGAAAUGACUCAAUUCGGAGCAAAAAUGGAUUUUCUAGGAAUUACACAAGUUCUAGAAUUAUUUUUGUACUAGAAAAGUAUUUUCUAUAUUGUUUUUCCUAUUUUCUUAAGUCCCUGGACUAAGCACACUAAUACAGAGAAGACCGGGGUUAAACUUGCAAAAGUCAACCAGACACAGACAACUCCCACGAGGACGGCGGGUUAGUUUAGGGAAAGCCGAGGGGCUCUUUAAGAAAAUAGGCGCGGCGAAGGGGUAUGGAUGAAUAUCUAUCGUCCGAUCAGAGAUGGACGCCCUGAUUAAAUCGAGCACCACCCCGAACCGGUACAACACCUCGGCCAUCAGAUCGAGAAUCUACGGCUAGGAUCAGAUCGUUGUUAUUAUAAACCAGCGCGCGCUCACAACCAUCCGAUCACGUAUCUGCGGUCAUGAUUUAUUGUCUCGAAAGGUUAUCCUCCCAUCUAAUCGCAGUCGUCCAACAUCGAUCUAACGACUUGAAACUCGUCUUCCUCCAUCGGAACACCCACCGAUCAUCAACGCAGCGGUGCACAGCGCCGGUGCGGCAGCGCCAUAGCUAGCGCAUAGGGUCCGCGCGAUUCCGCCCCCAAUCACUGCAAUAACUGGUGCUACACGAUCCCUGUGACACGACGACUACUUGGGUGGAGGACUUACCAGCGAUGACGUCGCAGCCAAGUCUGCCCACGAUGAGGAGCGAAUCAGUGGCCCAGCAGGAGUCCAGCGAGCAAUUGUGCCUACGUCAAGCCAUCCCGCGGCAGCGAGCUUGGCAGAGCUCGCCAACCGAGCCCGAGACCACGACCCGAACGCUACUACCCGAAAUCUUCAUGACGACGAAUAGUAGAUGAACUCACCCCUGGUGACGCAGCAAAACCGACCAGAUCCCCUCCAAGUCGCGAUGGCGGCACCUCCUGAUGAAUAAUCCCGUGCUCGCAGGUUGCUCCCCAGUCGAAUUGGGGUCCGUGAUGCCGGAGUCGAUGCCUGCGGCGCUCACGGCCCCUCUCCGACCGCAGACCGGCUGCGCGGAUGGAAAUCCCCGGCAGCGGUCACCAUGUCCCAGCCCAGCAGUGCGAAGCUCAGCGCUUGGUCACCCGAUUUCCCCCCGACUAGGUUGACGAGAUGGGGCACAAGGAGUUCGGCUAAUAUAGUCAGCAGGGAGA